UACAGAGGUCCCGAGCGUUGUUCGGAUUCACUGGGCGUAAAGGGUGCGCAGGUGGGUUUGCAAGUUUGAUGUGAAAGCCCCGGGCUUAACCCGGGAAUGGCAUUGAACACUGCAGAUCUGGAGGAUUGGAGGGGGGACUGGAAUUCUUGGUGUAGCAGUGAAAUGCGUAGAUAUCAAGAGGAACACCAGUGGCGAAGGCGAGUCCCUGGACAAUACCUGACACUGAGGCACGAAAGCCAAGGGAGCAAACAGG
rnacentral:rRNA from 1 species